GUGGGGAAUAUUGGGCAAUGGGCGAAAGCCUGACCCAGCAACGCCGCGUGAAGGAAGAAGGUUUUCGGAUCGUAAACUUCUAUCCUUGGUGAAGAUAAUGACGGUAGCCGAGAAGGAAGCCCCGGCUAACUACGUGCCAGCAGCCGCGGUAAUACGUAGGGGGCAAGCGUUGUCCGGAAUGAUUGGGCGUAAAGGGCGCGUAGGCGGCCUGGUAAGUCUGGAGUGAAAGUCCUGCUUUUAAGGUGGGAAUUGCUUUGGAUACUGUCGGGCUUGAGUGCAGGAGAGGUAAGUGGAAUUCCCGGUGUAGCGGUGAAAUGCGUAGAGAUCGGGAGGAACACCAGUGGCGAAGGCGACUUACUGGACUGUAACUGACGCUGAGGCGCGAAAGUGUGGGGAGCAAACAGGAUUAGAUACCCGGGUAGUCC
rnacentral:rRNA from 1 species